UACGUAGGGGGCGAGCGUUAUCCGGAUUUACUGGGCAUAAAGCGCAUGCAGGCGGUAAUGUAAGUCAGAUGUUAAAUACCUCGGCUCAACCGAGGUCCGCAUUUGAUACUGCGUUGCUUGAGAUCAGGAGAGGAAAGCGGAACUCACGGUGUAGCGGUGAAAUGCGUAGAUAUCGUGAGGAACACCAGUUGCGAAGGCGGCUUUCUGGACUGAUUCUGACGCUAAGAUGCGAAAGCGUGGGGAGCAAACGGG
rnacentral:rRNA from 1 species